UACGUAGGGGGCAAGCGUUAUCCGGAUUUACUGGGUGUAAAGGGAGCGUAGACGGCAGUGCAAGUCUGAAGUGAAAGGCGGGGGCCCAACCCCCGGACUGCUUUGGAAACUGUGCUGCUGGAGUGCAGGAGAGGCAAGUGGAAUUCCUAGUGUAGCGGUGAAAUGCGUAGAUAUUAGGAGGAACACCAGUGGCGAAGGCGGCCUACUGGACGGUGACUGACGCUGAGGCUCGAAAGCGUGGGGAGCAAACAGG
rnacentral:rRNA from 1 species